GACGAACGCUGGCGGCGUGCCUAAUACAUGCAAGUAGAACGCACAGUUUAUACCGUAGCUUGCUACACCAUAGACGGUGAGUGGCGAACGGGUGAGGAACGCGUAGGUAACCUGCCUGGGAGCGGUGGAGAACUAUUGGAAACGAUAGCUAAUACCUCAUAAUAUUGAUUGUUGCAUGAUAAUUGAUUGAAAUAUGCUAUUGCAUCGCUACCAGAUGGAUCUGCGUUGUAUUAGCUAAUAGGUGAGGUUACGGCUCACCUAGGCCAAGGUACAUAGCCGACCUGGGAGGGUGAUCGGCCACCCUGGGACCGGGACCAGGCCCAGGCCUCCGAGGGAGGCCGCCGUAAGGGAUUCUCGCCCAUGGGCCGAAGUCCGACCGAGCCACCCCGGGUGAGUGAAGAAGGUUUUCCGAUCGUAAAGACCUUUUGUAUGGGAAGGACGGGUGUGGGAGUGAACAGUUCACACUGUGACGGUAUCUUACCAGAAAGCGACGGCUAACUACGUG
rnacentral:rRNA from 1 species